GGACGCAUAGCUCAGUUGGUAGAGCACUUCCCUUACAAGGAAGGGGUCAUCGGUUCGAGCCCGGUUGCGUCCA
rnacentral:tRNA from 1 species